GGGCAGGUAGCUCAGUUGGUAGAGCAACGGACUGAAAAUCCGUGUGUCGGCGGUUCAAGUCCGCCUCUGCCCA
rnacentral:tRNA from 2 species